CUAUUGAGUAACUCGCGCAGUUUCAAGUUUCGCCGCAGUGCCUCAUAACUGCUUAAAAAUAGACAAUGGCGUGGAGUGAAAACCGUGGAUAAGAGUUUUUCAGAUAUUUAAAACAAACAAAACAAAAACAACUAAUCAAUAAUUAUCAUCGAUAAGGAUAGUGGAAAUGAGCCGGCGGAGCUCAACACCUGCGUGACCCCAGCCGCAGUGGGCUCACUCCCUGUAAUGAUCUGAGCUCUUCUGCUCGGGUCUCAUGCUUCAGUCACUUCCUUCCUUUGAGCGGACCUGAUCAAUGACACGCCCAUCUGCGUCUGCUCGGCAGACAGACAUCACACGUCUUCACCGGCUUGCUAAGACUAACACAAAGCAGUGUGUAGCUGUGAGGCGGAAGACAUACAGACUCAGACCAGGAUGGUGAGCAUAUCUGACCAUCAGUUUUUAAGUCGGGCCAUGUUCCACACCCCUUCUGAAGAGAAGGAUCCCCACAGCAUGAUUCCGCUAGCACCAUGUUUCACCAAGGAGGAUUAUAUUUUGUAUAUUUUCUGUACUUGCGUUAAUUUUCUUCCACAAGUGCAGUUUUUCUUGUCAGCCGAAAAGUUAAAAUUUGUUCUUACCUGCCCAGAGUAUCUUGUUUUGCAUGCUCCCUGUGUCGUUUUCUCCCUGCCACUCUUCCGUAGAGAUGCAUGUGUUGUGGUUC